UUAAUUAGCAUAAUUUCUUCAUAAUUUCUUCAUCCACAUUAUAGUGUCAGUUCUUUCCUUUUUAAGGCUGAAUAUUAUUCCAUUGUAUGUAUACACAUACCACAUCUUGUUUAUCCAUUCAUCCAUCAAUGAUCACUUGGGUUGCUUCCACUUUUUGGCUACUGUGAAUAUUGCUGCUAGGAACAUGGGUGUGAAAAUGUCUCUUCGAGACCCUGCUUUCGGUUCUUUUGAGUACAUACACAGGAGUGGGAUUGUUGUAUCAUAUGGUAGUUUUAACUUUGAAGAGCCACCAUAUCUUUUCCCACAGGGGCUACACCAUAUUACAUUCCCACCAACAUUGCACAGGGGUUACAAUUUCUCCACAUCCUCACCAGCAUUUGUUGUUUUGUUUAAUUGAUAGUGGCCAUCCUAAUGGGUGUGAGGGAAGCCCUCACUGUGGUUUUGAUUUACAUUUCCCUAAUGAUCAGUGAUGUUGAAUAUCUUUUCAUGUGUCUUUUGAACAUCUUUUAAUGUGAAAAAACCUUGCUGAUGGGGGUUCUGGAAAGGACUGAGUAGGAGAAUGUAAAGUUGACUUUGGUGAUGUUUUAUUCACUUUUUGGAAUAACUUGUCAAGAGGAGAUGAAAUGCCAGCCUGUUUGUCUUGGCCAAGAAAUCUGUGGCAAGGUAUAAGCAUAAUAUAUGAAUUUUCUCUGCAUUUGGAUCAUUGUAUUACAACCUACAACCACACAGUAAGAAAAAAACAGAAAUGGAGUAAAUUAUAUCUUCUCCCCAUUUCCAACCUUCCCUCCUCUGGUUUCUCUGUGUAGAGAUACCCUGUAAUAUUUGGUUCUUCAUAUCUGUCCAGAGAUAUUAAUAUUUACAUAUCUCUCUUGUCAUAUAAAUAGUAGCAUAUCAUACACACUGUUUGGUCUUUGCUUUUUUCUCUUAAAUACGUAUUUUGGGGAGCAUUCCAUAUUAGUGUGUGUGGUUCUGCUUCUGGAAUGUUCUUCUGAAGCUAAUUCUCAAUCCACAUGCCUGCAUUUCCUCCACCGGUGCACUUAGCCUCUAGAAGCUUCCCUCCAUGUUUUCUCCCAGCAUUUGGCCAAUGUGCUUCAACUGGCUUAUUCCUUACACAGAGGAACACCCAGCACCCAGACUGGUCCAAUGAACAUCAGUGUGAAAACAGAGUGUUGGUGGUGGCAGUGUGCCUAAUGAUUAUGAUCAUUUCCUGCUUUAAUUCCACUUAGCGACUGACAUCCUCCAUUACACUUUUUUUUUU